rnacentral:lncRNA from 1 species
AGAUGUAGAGGACACUUUCAGGGGACUGCAUUUUCUCUUUUUGUUUCACUUUUGUACUUGCUGGACAGACUGCUGCCACGCCAGCUGGCUAGGUUGCUCUGGACAGCGUCACUGGUGGAACAGCACCAAGCCAAGUCUCUUCUCUGGCACAGACACUCUGCUGUGCCGUCAGCCUGCUCUGCCCUCAAUGGAAGGUGUGGGUAAUUAAGGAUCCUGACGUCAAACUCCCAGCAGAUGACACACCCUGUUCCAACAACGGCUCUGGUGACAUUUCCUGAGGAAUAACAGUGACACAAAAUCCAGCAUAGAAACCAAGAAAGGUCAUUCGACCGCUCCCUGUCCUUUGGAAUUCUGCCCUUUGACUUUUCCUUCAGCGACACUGACAGAUUCCCUCCCCGUUUCUGUGUCAUUUUUUGGCAUCAUAUCAUAAAAAGAAAUGGUGACAAUUCCAUUUUAAGCACCUUUGUUGACUCCCCACACACAAUCUAGUCCAUUCUCUCUGAAUCUCCUAAUCGUACCAUGUGUAUUAAAACACCGGUGUCAAGUUUUCAAGUAAGGAAACCGAGGCACAGUGAGCCUGUGUGACAGAUCUGGUGCUAGUGCCAUGGCUACAAGACACUUUCCUCACACUGCACUGUGCCAGUCAUGACCACGACUGCGAGAGACGGUGUUUUAAAACAUCCCCAGCUGUUCUGGUCCAGAUGGCCUGUAUGGUUCGCAUUGGUGAUCUCUGGCAUAGCAGAGAAAGCACAGAAUUGAUACGACUGUUUCAAGCUCCUGGCUUCCUUGAUUUCUCUGUCAUGAUGGAUCACACCCUUGAACUCACUUGGAAGUCACCAGAGUGCUGGAGCCACGGGCUCCAAACCCAGCACAAGCCAGCAUGUUCUCCACUCAUUUCUAAACAUGAGCAGACUCCAGACUGCUGUCUUCAUACAGGAUGGAAAAUGAGAGAGAGAGAGAGGGAGGAGAGAGAGAGGAGAGAAUAUGCCUGGAGGGCCACUAAGCAGCAGAAGAGGACACCAGUGUGGCUGCAGACAGUGCAGGACUUCAGAUGGGUACUUAUGGAGCUUGAAGAUUAAGAGAUGAAAAAACACAAUCCACACUGCCAGAGGAGCUACGAAACAAGGAGGACCCCAAGAGAAGAUUGCAUAGUCCCUUGAAGAAGGGGAUGGGGAUAAGAACCCCUGACCAAAUUAGAGCCCCGGGGCAGGGAGAGGAAGGAGAGUCUUCAUCCAGUUGCUGUCUGAAGCAGAAGCAGACACCCAUAGUUAAACACUGAACUAUACUACUGGAAUUCAGUUGUGGAGAGGGAGGAGGGUUGAGCAAAGGAGCCAAGACAGGGAUGGAGAGACCUGCAGAAACAGUGGACCUGACCUACUUAUAGCAUGGAGACCCUAGUCAUAAAGCUGGGGAAACAGCAUUGGACCAAACCAAACCCUCUGAAUGUGGAUACCAGCUAGGAGCCCAAGACAGUCUAUGGGACCUCUGACAGUGGAGCCAGUCCUUAUCCCUAGAGCACAAAUGGACUUUUGGAGCCCAUUCCCUGUGGAAGGAAACUAUUGCAGCCCAGAUACGUGAAAGAGAGCCUAGGCCCUCCCCCAAAUGAUAUGAUGGACUUUGAAGGUCCCUGGUGGAGGGCCUCACUAUCCCUGGGAAGGAGUCGGGGGGGG